GUAGGGAAUAUUGCGCAAUGGACGAAAGUCUGACGCAGCGACGCCGCGUGAGUGAUGAAGGCCUUAGGGUCGUAAAGCUCUGUUGAAUGGGAAGAAAAAAAUGACGGUACCAUUCGAGGAAGGACCGGCUAACUUCGUGCCAGCAGCCGCGGUAAUACGAGGGGUCCUAGCGUUGUUCGGAAUCAUUGGGCUUAAAGGGUGUGUAGGUGGCCAUGUAAGUCAGGUGUGAAAGCCCCGGGCUCAACCCGGGAAGUGCACUUGAUACUGCGUGGCUUGAGUACCGAAGAGGGUAGUGGAAUUCCAGGUGUAGUGGUGAAAUACGUAGAUAUCUGGAGGAACACCGGUGGCGAAGGCGGCUACCUGGUCGAGUACUGACACUGAGACACGAAAGCAUGGGGAUCAAACAGGAUUAGAUACCCUUGUAGUCC
rnacentral:rRNA from 1 species